rnacentral:rRNA from 1 species
UACAGAGGAGCCAAGCGUUGUCCGGAUUGACUGGGCGUAAAGCGCGUGUAGGCGGUUAUGCAAGUCGGGUGUGAAAGCCCGGAGCUCAACUCCGGAAGUGCAUUCGAUACUGCGUAGCUAGAGUACUGGAGAGGAUGGUGGAACUCUCGGUGUAGAGGUGAAAUUCGUAGAUAUCGAGAAGAACACCGGUGGCGAAGGCGGCCAUCUGGACAGAUACUGACGCUGAGACGCGAAAGCGUGGGGAGCAAACAGG